rnacentral:misc_RNA from 1 species
GUCCGAUCUCCUUUCUUCAACCAACUCGGAUACGCAUUUUCCCUUUUCCCCAACUCCCCCAGAUUUCCAAUUUCCGAUCCCCAAAUAGAAACAAACAUCCCCAACGAAUUUCUCCCUCUCAUAAUCAACUCUUCAAGUCCUAAAUCCAUGGCCGCGGCUCUGGAUACUGAAUUCUCGAUCUCAUCCCAGCACGUGAUGUGGUUUGUCAGCACGCUACUCAGCCAUG